CCACCCUGGAUAUGGCUCUGUCCCUCUGCCACACCCCAGGCCCUGUGAGGAGUCCCCAAGAGGAGCCCACUGUACCGUGGGGUUAAUAACCUCUGCUGCCUGCCUGGGUAUCUGGGCCUGGCCACCAGCCGUGUUCUUCAUGUGUUGAUUUUAUUUGACCCCUGGAGUGGUGGGUCUCAUCCUUCUCAUCUUGGCAGAGAGCGGCAGAGGGCUGCCUCACUGCAAACCCUCCCUUCAGUGUCAGUGAUGAAGGAAAGCAGUGCCUGCUUGUGUGCUUUACAUGCACUGAAGUGUUUUAGAAAAAUCAGCUCUCCAUUCAUUUCCCCACAUGAGAAUCUCAAUUGUUGAGCGAUGCUGCAUUCAAUAACAUCUAUUUGUGACUAUUCAGUGUGUGUAUACAGGUGUUUAAAAGAUGUAAUUAUUCUAGGCUCCUUUCAUAUAUAUCAGUUUAAUAUACCUUUUUACAGUGCUCUCAGUUGCCCCCAAGGGUAAACAUGGAAUUGGACGAUGGAGAGACUUUGAGAUGGCAAUCAUCUUGGAAGAGGGGGUUUAAGGGAUGACAUAUGGUUUAGGGAUGGCUUAGGGAUGUGUCUUGAAGCUGUUUUACUUAGUUUAUGUUUAUUAGGGGUGGUCUGAAGGGAGACGAUAGAACUGAAUGAGGAGCUGGCUAACCCCACCCCCACCUCCUUAGCACCAAUCUUCUGGGUGUUCUAUGUGAUGGCAUAUACAUUAAUAAUUAAAUGGAAUAUUUUGUUCUCUGUCUACCAUACUAGAAAAUAUGUAUCCCUUAGUAAAAGUUGUUUAAAACACAUUGAAUAAUAACAAUCUUACCACUCUUUGAGCACCUACUAUGUGCCCAGAUACCUCUCAUAUACUCACAUAUAUUCUCAUUAAAUGCUCAUACAAAUUCGGAGAGAUAAAUAUUAUAGACAAAAAUGAUAAAAUUAGAUAGAUAUUGUGUUUUUAGAGGACUUUAUGUCAGGUGCUCUUCUAUUCAGAUUACAUGAAUUAUCUUGUCUAAAUCUCAUAACAAUUCUGUAAAACAGAUACUUUUUCAGGUGAAGAAACAGCAGUUCAGUAACUUGUCUGAGUUCACAUGGUUACCAAGGUACGAAGGGGAUAUUUAAGCCAGACAAUCUGACAUCAGAACUCUUGGUGUUCAGAAUGGUGUAAAUGCUAUAUUUACACCAUUUGAUGCAUAAGAAAAUAGAGAUUGCCUUACUUGCUCAAUCAGCUAGCUCACCUUCCAGUGCAGCUGAAAAAUACAUGCUGUAUGCUUGCAUUCUCUUUGUCCAAGUCCCAGGAAGGAGGAGGAACUACAGAUUACAGUGCUGUACGCUACGUGUCAGGGAUUUAUAGGAGAUUUUCAAGGUAGCUUUUCUGGUACAUUCUGGAAUGGUCCUGAGAAGUUAUAAUUUUUAGGUUCUCCCCCAGACAAUUGUGAUAAUAACCUGGUUUGACAACUAUUGCCCCAGCACAGGGAUGGCUAAUAAGUUUUAUUUCUAGUGCCAUUUCUGAGUGGUAGGUUGUUCAGGCAACUAUGUUGAAAAUUUUAAGGCUAAGUCUGAGUUCAGUUGGGAAGAGCACCAAUUAGUGAUGUCUGCCAUGAAUUUGAGGAAAGAGAAGGACAUGGGUGCCCUGGUGUCAGGUUCUAACUGAGGUCUGAGGGGAGUCAGUGGGUGAGUGGUAGGUAGCUGGAAAAACACUAGAGGAAUUGUAGACAGUUUUGACAUGGCUUUACUCUCUCUCUGGGCACAAGCGAGCCAUAUAUACAGCGUUAGCAGGGUAAUUGUAUGUUUUACAGACAAUAGUCCCUCCAAGCCAAGCACAAGCUCACAUGGGUGAUCACCUAAUAUGCCUCAUGCGGUGUGGUUACAUAAUGUGCAGGGUUGUACGCCUGCGCUCCAAACCCACUGAGUCAUGCUGCGCUAGAAGGCCGCCUUGGCCUACUUCUGAGUAAAGCACAGCCACUUCCCUUACACUCCACCAGCUAGGCUCAGGGCAUCCUCUGGGCAGGGACACAUGCCCAUAGGGCGGAGCCCUGAAUCCAUAGCUCAAACAACAAUACAGAGAGCAAUAGCUCACUACUAGGAUCCCAGUUAUGCUACUUAUGACUGUUAGGGCCCAGCAUAGGCCAGAGCCCAGGAAUACCCACCAUAACUUCAGUGGAGUGACAUGUAUUAUGUUUACACAGGCCAUGACAGGUACCCAUCCCGCAGUGGUGUUACCCCAGUGUUGCUGUAUGCACCGCGGUGCCUGGGCUAGGGGUACUACAUGUUCCCCCACUAGCCAGCCCCACCCAUCAUAAACACUACAGGCCAGCCAGGGGUGUGUGUGCCAUGGGUCUUGCAGUGUCUUUUGUCCAAAGCUUGCUGCAUUGCGUUCCAGGUGUCAGCCAUGGGACCCCAAGUCUCCAGCCAUGUCCAGUUCUCUGCAGACACUGAAUGCAUGUGCCAAGGCAAGCUGUCCACAACUGCUGCUGGAAGAGUGGUGCAGAGCCAACAGUUGGAAAUAUUGGUCACCUCAGCCUACGUGUGGGCCCAGUUCAUGAUGCAGUUGGAGCAUGUUAACCUGUGGUUGAAAUGACAGAGCAGGCAUAGGUACUAACAGAGGUAAAUCACGUCUCUCAAGCAAAAUACAGGCUAACCUUUCAUCCCUGGAUAACAAUGCAGCCAACAAGGGAUUUUGCCCUGGAUGAUGGUACCACACCUUCUCAGCUCCCCAUGGUUCUUUUGAGUCCUGUAUCUGUGCCAAAGUCACAGGGGAACUCAUAAUAGGUCACACAAGCAAUACAUAUAUUCCCUGGAGGAGGGUGCCUUCCCUGGCCAUUCCCCUACAAACAGUCAACUGCAGGGGCCAUGUAUUGAAUACCCAAGGAGUGACAUGCAAGUCAUAGUGUAUGCCCUACCCCCAGGGAGCUACGAUGGCCAACCACUGGCAGUGGGGGGCUUGGAGGGUCCAUGGCCACAGCCAGGUUUUCUGUUCCCCUGCCUUCAAGGGUGUUGGGGCUAGUAACAACAGGUUACUGUUCAUCCCCAUACCUGGUUGGAGGAGGUCACCCUUGGUAUGUAUCUGCAACCGGAUGGGGAUGGUGGCCCAGUGUAACAAAGCCACCAUCAGAACUGGGCCAACUUUCUGUGGCUGUUAAUUCAAGGAUUGAAGUACCAGGUCCAGCCUGGAACUCCAGCCCCACAAAGACAGGGGUGUGACAUGCAAGCAUAACCCAUUCUUUAAGAGCCUCUUAUACCACUCAAUUAUAUGUGCAGCUUGCGGGUUAUAUAGUACAUGGAAUCCCCACUUUAUGUCCACUUGUUAUGCCCAUUUUUGUGCCUGUUAUCCAGUGAUAUGUGUUCUCUUAUCACUCUCGACAGCCAGAGGGUGAUCAUACAGGGCAUAUAAGUGUUGCAGGGCCUGGAUGGUGUUCUGUUGGUUGGCCACUCUGCAAGCAUAGGUGAACAACAGGCUCAUGACUGUGUCCACAGCUGUUAACACAUGCAUAUACCCUUGCAACUUCAGCAGCAGCCUAAUGUAAUCUACUUGCCACUUGGUUAAGGGCACUCACCCUAUUGUCGUUUGUUGUGUAAUAUUGGGCCCCUGCCUCCAUUUAGGGUGUGCCUGAGCAUAUGCCAGGCAUUUCUGACAAGCCUCUCAAAUGCCUUGCUUGGGCAGGAAUAGACCCCAAUGCUUAUUGACCCGUUGCAUCAGUUCACCCCCCGGCUUGUCCCAGUUUCCAGUGUAGCCACAAGGCCACAUCUCAUGUUGGUGCUGACUAACCAUCGGAUCUUAACCAAGGUAUCUGCCUCAUCAUUGCCGGGGGUAGUGAAAGGCAUAUGGCCUGAGACAUGAUAAAGAGUUACCUCUUUCUGAUGACCCAUUUCCCAAAGGUCUUGCCACAUGACUUGGCCCCAAAUGGGUCAGUGGCUGACUAACCCCUUUUGUAUUUUCCAGGUAGUUAACCAUAAGGUUAAGCCUUGAUAGACUGCCCAGCUACCGAUACAGAUAACUAUAGGUGUCACCUCCUUGGUGAUCACCAUCCAUACUACUCUAAGUUCAGCCCAUUGGCUACUUUGUCCAUACCUGGUUUCAAACCAUACGGUGUCAGUACUAGGUUGGACUGCAACAGAAGUCCAGGCAGCAGUAGCACCUCGGCUAGACCCAUCUGUGUACCAUGUCCCAUCGGGAAUAGGGGGACACCCUUAAACAGUGAAAGCUCAGGGUUUAGGGGCACCUCAGGCCCCAUGGCCUUAUCUUACAUUAGGACUACAGGUUCAGGUUUUAAGACCUCUUGCAACUCUGCUGCUAAGGGACUUGUACUCAG
rnacentral:lncRNA from 1 species